UCAAACUAAUGUUCCAGUAUAAAAUAUGAAAAAAUAUGUCCAUGGUUUGACAAACAUUUCAUGAGUUGUAUAUACUUUUUCACAGAGCUGUACACUGAACUCAAUGAGACACCAGAUACUGUAGCUCGACCUGUAUCUCACUUUCUUAGAUCUGGCUUUGAGGUUUUGUAACUUCCUGCAUGUCUCUACUGUAUGAAACUAUCAGUAUGAGCACAGAUGCGCACAGACACAGUGGACAGUAAACAGCAUCCUCAGCAUCACAAACAGUUCAACAAAAUGGAUUCAAUCUAUGAAAAUUUAGAUUACAUGCCUUCGACGACAGCUCCAGAUUUCAGAUGCUCUCUGUACAAAGGUAAGUUGUUAUAGGUUUUAUAAUUUAUAAUAAAGUUCUGUUUAGAUGACACCAAGAUCAUAUUAGAGAGGAUUUAUUUACUGCAGAAAGAAACUUCAUGCAUUCUAAAACAAAAUAUCAAAUGAAAAAAGUGACAAAAUUAAAUUUUAAUUUUAAUUCUUUUCCUUUCUUUCUUUCUUUCUUUCUUUCUUUCUUUCUUUCUAUUUGGACCAUUAUCAGAUUUUUAUUGUAUUUAUAUUAAUUUAAUUUCCCACAAAUGUUGUGAGCUCUUUUAAAGGACUUGAUCCUGCUAAAAAAAAUCUGUUACAAAAAUUUACAAAUAGUUAUAGAUACGUUUUCAAAAAUAUGUCACAGGCCACAAUGGAAAUUCAGAACUUAUUUGUUUGGAACAAUUUGUCACUUUAACACAAUUUCUGACCCCAGAUUUCUCCUUUGAAGAACGAGAACAAGAACGAGAGCGAGAGCGAGAAGUCACUUCUCCUAAGUGGUCUAAAGUUCUUCUGACGCUUCUCAGUUUUUCUCUUGCUUUUGCUCUCGGUGGUCUCUGUGCUCUAGGGAUGCUUUAUGUCAAUACACGUUCCGAUUUUAUAUCAGCUAAAGAGAAGAACAGCACAAGUGAGAAACCAUAA
ensembl:lncRNA